rnacentral:ncRNA from 1 species
GGUCAAGUUAUAAAGGGCGUACGGUGGAUGCCUAGGCGCUAAGGGCCGAUGAAGGACGUGGCAAGCUGCGAAAAGCUACGGUGAGUCGCAAGCAGAC